AGAGAGCCCACCCCUGUGGCUGGCUGAGGUUGGCCUUGGGGCCGUGUGGCUCCCUUCUGCGGCUUGGCUGACAAGAGCAGCCUGCGUGGUCCACGCCCUCCCAGCCCACACGUCUCCUAUGGUCCAUGAUGGAGAUUCAGAGCGACAGGAACCAGAGCCGCAAAAGUGACUCCUCUUCAGACCUCCCCCACUAAUGAAUUCUCUCUGCAGAACGUGUGUUGGUCCAGCUCACUGCUCUCGUUUAUCUUUAGCUGCUCGACACUGGAAACCUUCAGAACACCACUGAUGACAGCGAUCUCAUAGGAGGCGAUGGAGAGGAGAUGAUCUCCACCCUACCCCAGUGAAGCCCCAACAGUGAGGCUGUCAGAAGACCAGAGAUGAGAGACAGACACGCACAGAGGGAAGAUGAUGUGAAGACGCGAGGAGAACAGCACGUGAAGGCAGAGGAUUGGAGUGAUGCACCUACAAGUCCAAGGAUGCCAAAGAUGGCUGGCAAAGCAUCAGACCCUAGGAAGGCGCAAGGAUUCCAGAGUCUCAGAUGGAGCAGGGUCCUGCCAAAUCUUGAUAGUGAACUUCUAGCCUUCAGAAAUGAGGAAACACAAAGUUCUGUUGUUCUAAGCUACCCAGCUUAUGGUACUUUGUUACAGCAACCUAGGAAAUUACCACACUUGGGAUUUUAAUUUAUUUUGGUUCAACAAAUAUUCACUGAGCUCAGUGUCGUGGGUAAUAAAACAGACAAAUAGAAAAUCACAGUCCUUUAUGAGGAGUGUGAUGAUGGUGUACUUUCAGAAGAGAAUACAACUACCUGCAGGGGGAAAAUGUCCUAUAAUUAGUUCCUUUUCACUGAUUCAGAGUGGCAUUCCACCAUUGCUGAGGUUGGCCUGAACUGUCUGUAUGUGAAGCUCCUGAGAGUAACACUGGAAGCUGUAUCCCACCCUCUGCACCCUCAACUCUCAUCUAGGUGCCUCCUCUGUGCUCCCCAAGCCCCGUUCCUUUUCUCUACCAUAGACUCACCCCAGUGCACCCUGGUUGUCUCUUUCACAUCAAACACAUGCCAUGAGCUCUUUGCUGCAGGGAUUGGCCUUUUCCAUCACUGCAUCCCUGCGGCCCAAUGAGGACCUGGUGUGGGUUAGUGUCCAGUGAACACUGGUUCAGGGCGUUAUCAAAGGACAAUCAUGCCAGAACUAGUCCAGAUCACCAUUUCUCACUGGAGCCCAUAAAUCCUUGGCAUUCUGAGGCCAUGGAUUCAGCCUGAGAUGCUCGCGUGUAGAUAAUAAUAAAUAAAUGGAUAGAUGAAUCCUCGCAUCUCCCCACAGUGCCUGGCAUAUAGCAGGCACUUUUCAAAAAUGUUUGUUCAGUAAAAUUCCUUAUAUGUCUGAUACUGUUAAGACAAAUGUCUAUAUUACAACUAUUUGUUUUGACAUACUUAUUCACUUAUUCAUCAAUAUUUAGUGAGUGGUGACUCUGUAAUCGACACCAAGGACAGCAGAAUAAGUAAG